rnacentral:rRNA from 1 species
ACGGAAGGCAGCAGUGGGGAAUAUUGGGCAAUGGGCGAAAGCCUGAUCCAGCGACGCCGCGUGAGUGAAUAAGUAUUUCGGUAUGUAAAGCUCUAUCAGCAGGGAAGAUAAUGACGGUACCUGACUAAGAAGCCCCGGCUAACUACGUGCCAGCAGCCGCGGUAAUACGUAGGGGGCAAGCGUUAUCCGGAUUUACUGGGUGUAAAGGGAGCGUAGACGGUAUGGCAAGUCUGAUGUGAAAACCCAGGGCUCAACCCUGGGACUGCAUUGGAAACUGUCAAACUAGAGUGCAGGAGAGGUAAGUGGAAUUCCUAGUGUAGCGGUGAAAUGCGUAGGUAUUAGGAGGAACACCAGUGGCGAAGGCGGCUUACUGGACUGUAACUGACGUUGAGGCUCGAAAGCGUGGGGAGCAAACAGGAUUAGAUACCCUGGUA